UCAAGCUCAAAGUUUCAAACUCAAAGAAGAAGGGGGUUGAUAUGAUCAGGGUUACUGAAGGGAGCAACUUGAUUCCCCUGAUGAUAACGAAUGCAAAUUGGAGCGCGUUGAGAUCAUAUAUCCGAUUUUAUAUGCUACCUUGUGGGUCUAAUAUUGAAGGCCUGUUCAGUAUGAAGUUUCUUCCGAGCUGUGAAAGGUACGGAGUAAUAUAUUUGGUCUCACAUUCCAUCCCAAACAAAAAGUUCUGGUACUGUAUUUGGUGAUCUUUUCCUUCUCUACACUGAACUGGUACGACGCUGUCGCCUUCACAGCUCUUCUCAGGGACACUGAAUUCCUGCUGCUGGUUAUACUGCUCGCAGAACUGAUUAUCUGCAGCACCUGAAUUAUACUCAAAGAGGUCCAGGUCCAGGAAUCCGUCCUCAGACAUCCUUCCAUCUGAGGGACCAUAUGUGCAACCGACAGGCAUAAUUGGGACCCGGUGGUGGCGGCGAGCCAAUGGGUUAGCUGAGUGAAUGUCAGCAUCACAGGUAGCACAGAGUGAUGCUGCAUCA